AAGUUGAAAAGUACUUUGAAGAGAGAGUUCAAGAGGACGUGAAACCGGUAGGAUGGAAACGGAUAGAGCCAAUGAACAAGCCCGCUAUUCAGCUAGUCGGCUGCGUGCGGCCUAGCUUGUAGUACCCGCAUGGGUGCUCUGGUUGGGUGCGGUAUGCGGUUGGCUAGUGCAUUUGCGGGUAAUGUGCGCUGAGGCGUGUGACGGAGUCCUGCGAACCGUUAUUAGAGGAUCAAGCUUCGGCUUGGAAACCUGGUGGCGGGUAGUAGUGGUUUCUGUUGCAUGUAGAUAAAACGGCUAGGCGCAAGCGCGCUGUCGUGUUAUGGAGGCUAGUUCACUGGUCGGUCGCAUGCGACUUGGCUUUUGAAUUGGUCCCCGUAGUGCGGUAGCGCCCUAGCUGAUCCUCGGUGUAAAAGUUGGUCAUCUCUCCGACCCGUCUUGAAACACGGACCAAGGAGUCUAGCGUAUGCGCAAGUCUACUUGGGUGGUAAACCCAUAGGCGUAAUGAAAGUGAAGGUUCAGCAAUGAACUAAUAUGCGAUCCGUUACUCCACGGAGUACGCGGAGCAGCAUACGCCCCGUCUUAACUGCUUGCAGUAGGGCGGAGGUAGAGCGUAUUCGACUGGUACCCGAAAGAUGGUGAAGCUAUGCCUGAGCAGGAUGAAGCCACGAGGAAACUCUGGUGGAGGUCCGAAGCGCUUCUGACGUGCAAAUCGAUCGUCUGACUUGGGUAUAGGGGCGAAAGACUAA
rnacentral:rRNA from 1 species